GAUGAACGCUGGCGGCGUGCCUAAUACAUGCAAGUCGAGCGAACAGACGAGGAGCUUGCUCCUCUGACGUUAGCGGCGGACGGGUGAGUAACGCGUGGAUAACCUACCUAUAAGACUGGGAUAACUUCGGGAAACCGGAGCUAAUACCGGAUAAUAUAUUGAACCGCAUGGUUCAAUAGUGAAAGACGGUUUUGCUGUCACUUAUAGAUGGAUCCGCGCCGCAUUAGCUAGUUGGUAAGGUAACGGCUUACCAAGGCGACGAUGCGUAGCCGACCUGAGAGGGUGAUCGGCCACACUGGAACGGAGACACGGUCCAGACUCCUACGGGAGGCAGCAGUAGGGAAUCUUCCGCAAUGGGCGAAAGCCUGACGGAGCAACGCCGCGUGAGUGAUGAAGGUCUUCGGAUCGUAAAACUCUGUUAUUAGGGAAGAACAAAUGUGUAAGUAACUAUGCACGUCUUGACGGUACCUAAUCAGAAAGCCACGGCUAACUACGUG
rnacentral:rRNA from 1 species